rnacentral:rRNA from 1 species
AUUGAAUGCUGGCGGCAGGCCUAACACAUGCAAGUCGAGCGGAUGAAGGGAGCUUGCUCCUGGAUUCAGCAGCGGACGGGUGAGUAAUGCCUAGGAAUCUGCCUGGUAGUGGGGGAUAACGUCCGGAAACGGGCGCUAAUACCGCAUACGUCCUGAGGGAGAAAGUGGGGGAUCUUCGGACCUCACGCUAUCAGAUGAGCCUAGGUCGGAUUAGCUAGUUGGUGGGGUAAAGGCCUACCAAGGCGACGAUCCGUAACUGGUCUGAGAGGAUGAUCAGUCACACUGGAACUGAGACACGGUCCAGACUCCUACGGGAGGCAGCAGUGGGGAAUAUUGGACAAUGGGCGAAAGCCUGAUCCAGCCAUGCCGCGUGUGUGAAGAAGGUCUUCGGAUUGUAAAGCACUUUAAGUUGGGAGGAAGGGCAGUAAGUUAAUACCUUGCUGUUUUGACGUUACCAACAGAAUAAGCACCGGCUAACUUCGUG